rnacentral:rRNA from 1 species
CCUACGGGCGGCAGCAGUGGGGAAUAUUGGGCAAUGGGCGCAAGCCUGACCCAGCAACGCCGCGUGAAGGAAGAAGGCUUUCGGGUUGUAAACUUCUUUUCUCAGGGACGAAGCAAGUGACGGUACCUGAGGAAUAAGCCACGGCUAACUACGUGCCAGCAGCCGCGGUAAUACGUAGGUGGCAAGCGUUAUCCGGAUGUACUGGGGGUAAAGGGCGUGUAGGCGGGACUGCAAGUCAGAUGUGAAACCACGGGCUCAACCUGUGGCCUGCAUUUGAAACUGUAGUUCUUGAGUACUGGAGAGGCAGACGGAAUUCCUAGUGUAGCGGUGAAAUGCGUAGAUAUUAGGAGGAACACCGGUGGCGAAGGCGGCCUGCUGGACUGUGACUGACGUUGAGGCCCGAAGGCGUGGGGAGCAAACAGGAUUAGAUACCCGGGUAGUC